rnacentral:misc_RNA from 1 species
GAUGAAGAACGUAGCGAAAUGCGAUAAUUAAUGUGAAUUGCAGAAUUUAGUGAAUCAUCGAAUCUUUGAACGCACAUUGCGCCCCUUGGUAUUCCGAGGGGCAUGCCUGUUCGAGCGUCAUUAUAACCCCUCAAGCUCAGCUUGGUGUUGGGGCCUGCUGCACUGGCAGCCCUUAAAAUCAGUGGCGGCGCCGUCUGGCUCUAAGCGUAGUAAUUCUUCUCGCUAUGGAGUCCUGGUGGAUGCUUGCCAUCAACCCCCAAUUUUUCUAUGGUUGACCUCGGAUCAGGUAGGGAUACCCGCUGAACUUAAGCAUAUCAAUAAGCGGAGGA